rnacentral:misc_RNA from 1 species
AGCAGCCGCGGUAAUUCCAGCUCCAAUAGCGUAUAUUAAAGUUGUUGCAGUUAAAAAGCUCGUAGUUGAAUUUCGGGGUUAGUAGGUUGGUCAUGCCUCUGGUAUGUACUGGUCUCACUGAUUCCUCCUUCCUGAUGAACCUUAAUGCCAUUAAUUUGGUGUUUUGGGGAAUUUGGACUGUUACUUUGAAAAAAUUAGAGUGUUUAAAGCAAGCUAACGCUUGAAUACAUUAGCAUGGAAUAAUGAAAUAGGACGUUCGAUCCUAUUUUGUUGGUUUCUAGGAUUGACGUAAUGAUUAAUAGGGAUAGUUGGGGGCAUUAGUAUUCAAUUGUCAGAGGUGAAAUUCUUGGAUUUAUUGAAGACUAACUACUGCGAAAGCAUUUGCCAAGGAUGUUUUCAUUAAUCAAGAACGAAAGUUAGGGGAUCGAAGACGAUCAGAUACCGUCGUAGUCGUAACCAUAAACUAUGCCGACUAGGGAUCGGAUGAUGUUAAUUUUUUAAUGACUCAUUCGGCGCCUUA